rnacentral:misc_RNA from 1 species
GAUGAAGAACGCAGCGAGAUGCGAUAAGUAGUGUGAAUUGCAGAAUUCAGUGAAUCAUCGAAUCUUUGAACGCACAUUGCGCCCCUUGGUAUUCCAUGGGGCAUGCCUGUUCGAGCGUCAUUUGUACCUUCAAGCUCUGCUUGGUGUUGGGUGUUUGUCUCGCCUCUGCGUGUAGACUCGCCUCAAAAUAAUUGGCAGCCGGCGUAUUGAUUUCGGAGCGCAGUACAUCUCGCGCUUUGCACUCAUAACGACGACGUCCAAAAGUACAUUUUUACACUCUUGACCUCGGAUCAGGUAGGGAUACCCGCUGAACUUAAGCAUAUCAAUAAGCGGAGGA